AACAACCAAAUCCAAGCAAAAAUAUCUCGGAUUCCAUAUAUAUCGGAUUGCAUCAUGCUCAUAAUGAAAUUGACGACAUUUGGCCAGCCCCCCCCCCCUUCCAUCAUUUGACUGCCUUGAAAAGGCAGCAUGGCAAUAAGUGUCACGCGAGAUUUCGCCAAUCGCGCCCGUUUGCUAAUUUGGCACUGGAAGAAGAGGAAAAUCGUGGUGAGUGGGUGCAGACGCUUUCAGACUUUUUGACAUUUCAAUUAGACGGUACUCGAAGCUGGAAGCCAGAAAAUAACCCCGCCGGAUCACAUUAAUUGCCGCAUGUGAGUGACAACAUAUAAUUUGGAGUUCCUUUUUUUUUUUUUUUUUUUGCUCAAGCCGUACAUAGUACGUCCAGGAUACGCCAUCUGGCAAUUACGCCUCUCCAACUGCAUUCCAACCUCUGCCACCUACCAACUUGUCACUGGAGAGAUGCCCGAAUGUGACUCUGCCAGAAUGGAGACAAAGACAUCUCAAUCGUUUCGUUGGAAAAAUACAACAAAAAAAUCGCCGCACGCUGUCAUAUAGACAAAAGUACAAGAAGACGUUUCCUGUACUUUAAACAAAGUGCGUGACAGGCAGAAAUUUUCUGCAAGCGAGCCGGCUCUCAUCCCACUGCUGGCCCAGUGGUGAGCUUGACUUGAUUUAGACACCCCGCGGUGAUCCAGUGAUGCGGAACUACCCAAGAUGCAGUUUUCGUUCUGCCUCGCCUCGGCCAUCUCGUCCCAACACCGAAGCAAGCUAGGGACAUUGCCGGAAGUUGUCGGGUUGCGCCGCUAGUUGGUUAGCGAGAAUCAAAGCGAUUCCAAAUUCCCCCCCCCCCCCAUUGGGCCUGACUAAUAUAGCCACGGUGCACUCAGCUGUUGGCCGUCCAAUGUUUGGCUUUAUUCACGGACGGCAGCUGUCAUUAGUUGCUCAACGCUUUUCUCAAAGCAGAAAUCGGUCUGGGAGCCACAGACGUAUUCCAUUACUGGUUUCAAAAUCUUGAACGCCACUUGCAAAAGGAACCGUAACCGAAGAACAGCAGCGAGGCAUUUCCAUCGACUUUGGAUUUGCAUCUCGAAGAGAAUAUUAAUCACCGCGCACGUCAUUAGCGCGGCACCAUUGCUCAGUGUUAGCGGGCCGGCCCAUUUAUAGCAGCUCUAUGAAUUUGUAACAUGGGAUGAGAAUGGAGCCAUUUAUCAUGACGGUUAAACGUCAGUAGAUAUCUGCAAGAUUCCCUUUGCGGAAGAGAGAGAGAAAGAGAGAGAGUUCAAUCAGAGGGGAAACGGGCCGGGGGGUUGCAGUCGCUCAUCAGCGGCGAACGGGCCCCAGAGGCGAGCUGGCCUGCGAUGACGUACUUGUACAGAGGCCAUUGAUUACGGCUAGUGCCUCUGCGGCGUUUGGCUAAAUUUAGAAAGAGAGGGUUCCCUUCCGCUGUCGCCGGGCGGCCCGCAUCAAUGAAUGCCACAAUCGGUGGGACAAUUGCAUCAGGAAAUCAAUUCAUUUGAAAGAUCAGUCCCAUUUCUCCCCCCCCCCCCAUGCAUUUAUAUCGCCUUAUUCUCUCAUAUCUUCUGACAUAAAAGCUGGCGCUCCAAAAGCGAAAACGGGUCAAAGCUGACCCUGACCUCAUGCCUACCCCGAACCCUGCGGCGGCCUGUCAGUCCCAGAUUCUGAUCUUAUCUUAGACAUUUACAACGCUGCAUGACUAAUGUGGGGGGACUUGGUUCGAAAUGCAACAAUCGACACGGUAAACUUCUCCCGUUUUUAUGUGGUCCCUUGACUCUUUCUCGUGUCAUUUCCUAAAAGCGCCACUAAGCAAAUACAAAUUUACGUCGAAAUUCCUCACAUGCCUCAGAACAUUCCCAAGCGUGCGAAUUUUCACACCCUCAUCGGCGCAAUCCGGGGUUUGGUUUGUAAAUUAACACUCGGGUGUUAAGUUCAUGAUGUGACCGGUGUUAUGUAACAUCAGGCGGUCCCGAAUGCGGCUUUAAAUCGGAAUGGCGCCUCCAUUUUUGUGUCAAUCGAUAUUCCACAGUACCCGACCCUUUCAAGCACUCAACGACUGUCUGUAUAAUCGCACAACCGAUGUCAUGUCUUUGUUUAUCGUACUUGCUGUCCUUUAGCCGCCGUUAGCCAAACGACACACAAGCCACCAUCACACUUCCCUUUCCCUCGUGACACGUAAUCGAUCGCUUCCUGUGUUUAUGGAAGAUGUCUUUACAUAAGUGGCCCGUCGCCAGAAUAAAACGUAUCCGUUAUCCUCUCGAUCCGUCGUGCGCUUUCACGGCUGACCGAAUUGCUCUCGUUGGCAAAUUCCC